rnacentral:tRNA from 1 species
CGGGAUGUAGCGCAGCUUGGUAGCGCACUGCGUUCGGGACGCAGGGGCCGCUGGUUCGAAUCCAGUCAUCCCGA